AUUUUUGAAAUUGUUUUUAAAUAUGAAUAGUUAACAGAGUCUCUCGGUGAUUCCAAGAUGUCCCAGAGACGGCCGCAGAAGUUUCGAGAUGUUGAUUACCGACGAGUGUCGGACAGUGAUGAUUUUGUCGAUGCUCAGUAUGCUGAUCGAAUGUGGCCGAUGCUUAUUUUGGGAAUGUUGAUGUUCAUACCUGGAGCCUAUCACAUCAGAGUAGCGUACUGUGCAUUCAGAAGAUAUCCAGGAUAUUCGUU